GAGGGAACACGCGGAACAUUAAAAGAGAAGGAAUAAAAUCAUUAAAUUAAAAAGCAUCAUUUACAAUUCAGGUGUGGAGUGAUUGCCCAGCUUUCACAUAUAGUACCCAUGUAGUAUUCUGAUAUAUUGAUGCAAUCAAAGGAAGAGUUAUUACAGUUAUUGAGAGCCAACGAAGUGCAUACACCAAUUGCGCAUUGCGGGAAAAACUUUGUUCAUAAUGAGCGACGAGCAUGAGGCUGGCCCGGAUGACGAAAAUGGUCAGGCAGCUGCAAACAACAUUGUGUUGCAAGAUCAGGCUGUUGGCGGCUGCAUAGUUUCGCGGCACCAGACAAGCAAAAUCGUGUCUCAAGAUCAAGCUGCGGGAGGCGACACAGACUUACAUGACAAGAUAUCCCAUGCAGAACCUCUUGUGCAGCACGUUGCUCAGAUUGGACUGGAUCGAGAGGAUCUGGCUGAUGUUUGUCAAGGAGAAGCGGGACUUCAAACAACGCUACGCGACAUGGAACGGAACCAAGUUGGUACAAAAAUGGGUUUCACGGGUUGAAAUCGCGGAUAUAAUGGCGGUAGUGGAGCUCUUUUCGAGAGAGGAUGGCAUUACUAUCAAAUUAUGGUUUGAAGAGUUUGAAACUGCAUGUGCAGUGUUGGGAGUACCACUCAAUCGCUAUUGGUUAUAUGCGAGGCGUCUUCUUAUUGGACCAGCAACGAGUUACUUCGCAUAUCAAGGUGCUGCUGAUUGGGAUGCCUUGCGAACUCAGAUGAUGGAUGUUUUUGGACGUAAGAACACAAAACUGGAGAUAUGUGAGCAGCUCAAACGCCGUAAGUAAAAAAGUAAUGAAACUGCAUUUCAAUACUUUACAUCCAUGUGCAGUAUUGCACGCCAAGCUGAAUUGGAAGAUCGUGAUUUAAUUAAGCACGUUGUUGGCGGAUUAAACGACACGAGUGGUAUUACUGCGUCACUUUAUUUUUCGCCGUUUGAUAGAGUAUGAUCAAAUCCGUUUAUCACUGCCAAAUUCUUACGCUGAUCGUGGUACCUCGAGCGUUCAUGAUAUAAAAUGCUACAAUUGUCGUCGGCCGGGACAUAUGAUAAAGGAUUGCAACAAGCCCAUACGUUCACCGAAUAGUUGCUUUACUUGGGGAGGCGUGGAUCAUCAAUUCCGUAGCUGCCCGAAGCGUGUGACUGGAAGACUGCAGCAGACAGUGGCAUGUGUGGAAGAUUAACAAGCUGUUGCUAACAUAAUUGGUAAACAUUUACCCGGAUAGCUUCGGAAGCAAAAAAAAAAUUUGCCAAAAGAUGAUACGUUGGCGAACCCAUUUGAGAGUAAGUACCGUGGAAUUUAUGGAAGAAAUAUUAUGCUAUGCGGCGCAGUUAAAUGCUAUAUUAAGUUUAAUUUGAAAGUUUAUGAUAUUGAAGUUUUGGUUGUUCACGAUGAUGUAUUACCUGUUGCUAUGAUUCUUGGCAGAAACGCUAUUGACGCUUUAAAAUUACAAUUAAUCCAAAGAAAUUCAGACUGGGAAAAUGUCAGUAUUUGAUAAUAAUAAAUUUGAUUUUACUACUUCUUGUGCAUCUCUGUUUUAUAACACAAUAGACAAUAAGAUAAAUAUUGACAUAAAGGAAGGUCAAUACCCAAAUUCAGCAGUGGAUGAAUGACAUGGAUUAUUUGUGUGCAGGUGUUACAACACAGUUGAAUACAAAUCUAGAUAUCGGUAGCGAAUUUGGGUUUGGGAAUAGAGAAAAAUGCUGUAAGUUUAUCUGUGAAUGUUAUUUAAAUAUUUUAAGUACGAAAUUAGCUGAACCUGUUUGCAAGAUGAGUAUAAAACUAAUAAUGGUAUAAUUGCUGGAACGAUUAGCAAAAUUUCGUUUAGAAAUCAAUUUUAAGAAGACCUUAUUUUUAAGAAAAGUAAUAUAUUAUUUAGGGUACUUUGUUAGCAAUUAAGGGAUUUUGCCUAAUGAUUCGCAUAUAGAAGUUAUAAAAACUUAUUCUGUUCCGAAUAAUACAAAACAACUUCACUCUCGUUUAGGUAUGUUCUCAUAUUUUUGUAGAUUUGUUCCGUCUUAUGCAAGUAUAGCCCGACCAUUAGUUGAACUAUUAAAGAAAGGAGGACCGUUCCCGAUGGAUGAAGAACAAAUUUAAGGACUUAAGAAAUCGUUUAUCAACUCCGCAAAUACUUUCAAUAUUUAACCCUAAUCGUGAAACGGAUUUACAUACUGACGCCAGUUCUCGAGGUUUUGGAGCAGUUUUAUUGCAGAGACAGAACGAUGGCAAAAUGCAUCGUCAGAAAAGUCAGAAUUAGUAGAAUCGUCAGAAUUAGUAGAAUCGUCAGAAUUAGUAGAAUCGUCAGAUUCGUCAGAAUUAAUAGAAUCGUCAGAGUCGUCAGAAUUAGUAGAAUCGUCAGAGUCGUCAGAAUUAGUAGAAUCGUCAGAUUCGUCAGAAUUAAUAGAAUCGUCAGAGUCGUCAGAAUUAGUAGAAUCGUCACAGUCAGAAUUAGUAAAACCGUCAGAAAAGUCAGAAUUAGUAGAAUCGUCAGAAUUGUCAGAAAGGUCAGAAUUAUUAGAGUCGUCAGAGUUGUCAGAAAAGUCAGAAUUAGUAGAAUUGUCAGAGUCAUCAGAAGUAGCAGAGUAAGGCUUUAGAAAAUUCAAGGCUUGUGGAAUUUGGAAAUUGGUUAAUUUAGUUGGCACGGUGGGAGCUAUGCCAGAUGACUUUCUAUUGCAAACGGAGCAAAUGAGGAAUUAAGUUAGAAGUAAAAUACGAGACGAGUUAGCAGAAGGACCAGUGAAAAGUUUUGUUUUGAUAGAUGGUGUUGUGUAUCACGAAGGUACGAACCAGAAUACGACUUUGUAUGUUCCAUCAAGUAUUCGAGAUGAUUUAAUUAAGUUGUCCCAUGAAAAACUAGGUCAUUUAGCUGCAGAUAAGUGCUACAAUAAUAUGAAGUCUAGGUAUUGGUCUCCUUUAAUAAGAACGAAAAUAUAUGAGUUGAUUCGAAAUUGUUUGAAGUGCAUUUUACAUUCUGUUCCAAAGUCAGAUAACAAUAGAAUUUUACACAGUAUACUCAAAGUGCCGAUUCCAUUUGAUACGACUCGCAUAGAUCAUUUAGGGCCCUUGCCGUGUAUAAAUUCAACAAGGAAACAUUUAUUAGUAGUAAUUGACUCAUUUACAAAGUUUGUGAAGUUAUUCGCUGUAAAUUCUACAAGUACACGUGAAGUAAUUGCGAGUUUAAGUAAAGAUUUCGAAUUUUAUAGUAGGCCACGCAGAAUUAUUUCGUAACGUAAUAUUGGUCAUAUAAAAGUGGCGACAUGUGCUCCCCAAGCAAACAGAAAGGUUGAGAGAGUAAAUCGAGUGCUGACACCGAUGUUAGGAAAAUUGUCUAGUCCAAUUAAUCAAGCUGAUUGGUAUGAACUUAUAAAUAAGGUUGAACACGCGAUCAACAAUUCAGUCCAUUCUAGAACAUUAAAAAAACCAAGCAUGAUCCUUAUGGAGUAGAUCAAAAAGGUCCGAUAGUUGAUGAAUUAUAUGAGUAUUUAGAUGAUAAUUUAAAUAAAGAUAAAAAGAUAGAUUUAAAAGAUAUAAGGGAUAAAGCAAAUUUAAAGAUUGUAGAGUCUCAGAAAAGAAAUGAAAUUAUUAAAGCAGCUUAACAGAAAGCGCCAUCGGAAUUUAGCGUUGGAGAUUUUGUGGCAAUAAGAAAUAUAGACCUAACACCUGGCACUUGUAAAAAAUUUGCGCCUAAAUAUAGAGGUCCAUAUAAAAUAAAUAGAGUUUUUGACAACGAUAGGUAUGAAGUAACAGAUAUAGAUAACUGACCGAGUUUAAACAUAUGUGAAUAUAUACUAAAUAGUAUUAAGUGUGAGCAUUGUAAACAUAUGUCAAUAUAUACUAAAUAGUAUUAAGUGUGAACAUUGUAAACAUAUGUAUGUGAAUAUAUACUAAUUAGUAUUAUGUGUGAACAUAAUGUUAUGUAUUGCAUUGUAUUUUAGUGUGUACUUUCUAUAGUGUAACUUUAUAUUAAGCAUCGAUAAGACAACAUAUAUCGAUUACAUGGUGAACUCAAUUGUCGAUAAAAAUAAGACACUUGUAAUUGAGGGAGAAGAGAGAACACGCGGAAUAUUAAAAGAGAAUGAAUAAAAUCAUUAAAUUAAUAAGCAUCA